CUGUAACAGAGCAGAUCACUGCACAAUUAGACCAGGUAAACAUUCAGUCUGUAACAGAGCAGAUCACUGCACAAUUAGACGAGGUAAACAUUCAGUCUGUAACAGAGCAGAUCACUACACAAUUAGACCAGGUAAACAU